rnacentral:sRNA from 1 species
UUUCCGUAGGUGAACCUGCGGAAGGAUCAUUGUCGAAGCCUGCCCCUAAAGCAGAACGACCCGCGAACACGUUAUCCUCCCGUUCUUUAAGUCCGUCCCCGAACGGACUCGUUUGCUCGGUGGACGGCGCCUAACGAACCCCGGCGCGAACCGCGCCAAGGAAUACUUGACCGAAAGUCGGAACUGAUGAGGGAAUGAAAGUUUCGGGGAGCGGCUUCGCCUCUUCCUCUAGCUUCUCUCGACGUUCCGAGUGUGAAACACAAAACGACUCUCGACAACGGAUAUCUCGGCUCUCGCAUCGAUGAAGAACGUAGCAAAAUGCGAUACUUGGUGUGAAUUGCAGAAUCUCGUGAACCAUCGAGUCUUUGAACGCAAGUUGCGCCCGAAGCCUUUAGGCCGAGGGCACGUCUGCCUGGGCGUCACGCAUCGCGUCGCCCCCCCGCACGGGGGAGCGUAUAUUGGCCUCCCGUGCCCCCCGAGGGCGCGGCUGGCUCAAAACGGAGUCCCCGAAGAAGGACGCACGACGAGUGGUGGCUUGAUUUACCUCAACUCUCGUCGCGUCGUGCGCACGUCCCGCAUCGGUGCCGGCUCGAAACGACCCUGACGGUGCCCUUCGAUUUCGUAAUCGAUCGGCGCUUCGACCGCGACCCCAGGUCAGGCGGGACCACCCGCUGAGUUUAA